AAUUAUACAGGUUUUAUUUUUAUGGUUCUACCUUUUCAUUCACCAGUUUUGAGAUUAAUUCUUGCAGUGUAUGUCAGUAUUUCAUUCUCUUUUAUUGCUAAGUAACAUCCCAUCACAUUAAUGAACCACAAUUUAUUCACCCAUUGAUAGAAAUUUCAGUUGUUUUCAGUUUGGGGCUAUUAUGAAUAAAUCUGAUAUGAACAUUCAUGUACAAAUUUUUGUGUAGAUAUUUUCAUUUAUAUUGUAUAAAUUUCUAGGUUUUGAACUGCUGGGUCAUAGAGUAAAUGGUAUGUAUAACUUUUAUAAGACACUGCCAACUUGUGUAAGUGUCUAUACCAUUUUGCAAACCAGCAGCAAAAUAUAAAUUUUCCAAUCACUCCUAGCCUUGACCACUUAUGGUAUCAUCAUCUUGGAAUUUUUAGCUUUCCUAAUUUGUAUAGUAGUGCUUUACAGUGGCUUCAAUUUGCAUUUCCCUGAUGAUGGCUUUCAAUAUUUUUCAUGUAAUUGAUGGUCAUUUCUCUCUCUUUUGUUAAGUACAUGUUUAAAUCUUUUGCUCACUUCAAGACAUAGGUGAUUAGGGUCCACAUCCCUGCAACCUUAGGUUGCACCUCACAGCUUCAGCACACCGUCAAGGAAAGAAGCCGCUACCUUUCACAGCAAAGAGACUGAUCCCCGCAGCCUGGGGUGGGUGGUAGAAGUCAUGCCUGGUGUUCUGUAGUGCCAGCAGAACAGGAGAAGGAUCCCAUUUCUCUGAAGAGAGUUUGAGGUGGCAGUAGUGGACUGGAUGGGUUAGGAGGUCCAGUUGUACAACUACGAAGCCUACAUAAGAAAAAAUACAAGACAAAUACAUAGGAACCCGUUCCUCCAUUGUCUGAGUAUGUUCCUCCACCAAAUCCAAACCCUUGAUGAUCUAGUGACUGCUAAUCCAUUUGACGACAACUAUAACACUCUUUCCUACACCACAACCUUCAUCACAUCAGUGUCUCAGCCCUGAUGUGCCUUUGGAAGCUAAAUGGCAUUCAGAAUGUCACCUCAUGUUGCCCCCAAGAAUUUCUUCCCCAUAUUGUGAUCCUUACUCAGGAAUCA
rnacentral:lncRNA from 1 species